rnacentral:rRNA from 1 species
AUGGAUGGUGUUUACGGAAGAAUAGAGGUCUUCCCGCAGCACUUCACGCCCGAGAAAGAGCCCAUGGACGGUGCUGAUGGUCUGUCCACAAGUAAGAGCAACAUGGAUCCGUCACCAAGUCCACGUAGGCGUUCUUGGACCCCGAAACGAGUCAAGGGAGUUUAUCGCUUCUGCAACUGUUGUCUAUUCCUUGCAUUAGGUGGUCUUCCAGCAACAAGGAUGAUGAUAAGGUUACAAUGUUUUCUAACCAUAUCGAACCUCUGUUUCUGUCAUGUAUCACGAAUCCUGUCUUACAAGUACACCGACGGUUUUCACUGUUAUCAGACCGAAUUGACAAGAGCUGAAGUAGAAUCAUUACGAAGCGAAAUUACCAAUGCCGAUGAAAGGGUGUCCCAGCUAAAAGCCCGGUUAGAAAAUAUUGACGAAGCCUUGAGAUAUGCACUCCUUUCCGGGUACCUCCAUAUCAGAAGUAGAUGGACUCAACUUCCUGGGGAGCCACCUAUCAUAGACGACGCCGAUGUCGAUGACUGGCUUCCUCGCUUUGUUGUCCUACAAGGACAGUGUUUAUACUACUAUCUGAAGUGUACUGAGGCGAACCUUGUGUCUGCUACAUCGAUGAGUUUAGUGGCUAUUGUGUAUGGUGGAAUAAAGUCAAGUUAUAUAAUCACAAUACCCAUAACCUACGGAAGAUAA